rnacentral:rRNA from 1 species
UACGUAGGUGACAAGCGUUGUCCGGAUUUACUGGGCGUAAAGCGCACGCAGGCGGUCUGCUAAGUUUGGAGUGACAGUUGGUGGCUCAACCACCAAAGUGCUUUGAAAACUGACAGACUUGAGGGCUUCAGAGGGACACGGAAUUCCGGGUGGAGUGGUGAAAUGCGUAGAGAUCCGGAGGAACACCAAAGGCGAAGGCAGUGUCCUGGGGAGUACCUGACGCUCAGGUGCGAAAGCCAGGGGAGCGAACGGG